AAAUUGAAGAGUUUGAUCAUGGCUCAGAUUGAACGCUGGCGGCAGGCCUAACACAUGCAAGUCGAGCGGUAGCACAGAGAGCUUGCUCUCGGGUGACGAGCGGCGGACGGGUGAGUAAUGUCUGGGAAACUGCCUGAUGGAGGGGGAUAACUACUGGAAACGGUAGCUAAUACCGCAUAAUGUCGCAAGACCAAAGUGGGGGACCUUCGGGCCUCAUGCCAUCAGAUGUGCCCAGAUGGGAUUAGCUAGUAGGUGGGGUAACGGCUCACCUAGGCGACGAUCCCUAGCUGGUCUGAGAGGAUGACCAGCCACACUGGAACUGAGACACGGUCCAGACUCCUACGGGAGGCAGCAGUGGGGAAUAUUGCACAAUGGGCGCAAGCCUGAUGCAGCCAUGCCGCGUGUGUGAAGAAGGCCUUCGGGUUGUAAAGCACUUUCAGCGGGGAGGAAGGCGUAAGGUUAAUAACCUCACGAUUGACGUUACCCGCAGAAGAAGCACCGGCUAACUCCGUGCCAGCAGCCGCGGUAAUACGGAGGGUGCAAGCGUUAAUCGGAAUUACUGGGCGUAAAGCGCACGCAGGCGGUCUGUCAAGUCGGAUGUGAAAUCCCCGGGCUCAACCUGGGAACUGCAUUCGAAACUGGCAGGCUAGAGUCUUGUAGAGGGGGGUAGAAUUCCAGGUGUAGCGGUGAAAUGCGUAGAGAUCUGGAGGAAUACCGGUGGCGAAGGCGGCCCCCUGGACAAAGACUGACGCUCAGGUGCGAAAGCGUGGGGAGCAAACAGGAUUAGAUACCCUGGUAGUCCACGCCGUAAACGAUGUCGAUUUGGAGGUUGUGCCCUUGAGGCGUGGCUUCCGGAGCUAACGCGUUAAAUCGACCGCCUGGGGAGUACGGCCGCAAGGUUAAAACUCAAAUGAAUUGACGGGGGCCCGCACAAGCGGUGGAGCAUGUGGUUUAAUUCGAUGCAACGCGAAGAACCUUACCUGGUCUUGACAUCCACAGAACUUUCCAGAGAUGGAUUGGUGCCUUCGGGAACUGUGAGACAGGUGCUGCAUGGCUGUCGUCAGCUCGUGUUGUGAAAUGUUGGGUUAAGUCCCGCAACGAGCGCAACCCUUAUCCUUUGUUGCCAGCGGUUCGGCCGGGAACUCAAAGGAGACUGCCAGUGAUAAACUGGAGGAAGGUGGGGAUGACGUCAAGUCAUCAUGGCCCUUACGACCAGGGCUACACACGUGCUACAAUGGCAUAUACAAAGAGAAGCGACCUCGCGAGAGCAAGCGGACCUCAUAAAGUAUGUCGUAGUCCGGAUUGGAGUCUGCAACUCGACUCCAUGAAGUCGGAAUCGCUAGUAAUCGUAGAUCAGAAUGCUACGGUGAAUACGUUCCCGGGCCUUGUACACACCGCCCGUCACACCAUGGGAGUGGGUUGCAAAAGAAGUAGGUAGCUUAACCUUCGGGAGGGCGCUUACCACUUUGUGAUUCAUGACUGGGGUGAAGUCGUAACAAGGUAACCGUAGGGGAACCUGCGGUUGGAUCACCUCCUUA
rnacentral:rRNA from 1 species